rnacentral:rRNA from 1 species
CCUACGGGGGGCAGCAGUGGGGAAUAUUGGACAAUGGGGGAAACCCUGAUCCAGCGACGCCGCGUGAGUGAAGAAGUAUUUCGGUACGUAAAGCUCUAUCAGCAGGGAAGAUAAUGACGGUACCUGACUAAGAAGCCCCGGCUAACUACGUGCCAGCAGCCGCGGUAAUACGUAGGGGGCAAGCGUUAUCCGGAUUUACUGGGUGUAAAGGGUGCGUAGGUGGCAGGGCAAGUCAGAUGUGAAAGCCCGGGGCCCAACCCCGGUACUGCAUUUGAAACUGUCCGGCUGGAGUGCAGGAGAGGUAAGCGGAAUUCCUAGUGUAGCGGUGAAAUGCGUAGAUAUUAGGAGGAACACCAGUGGCGAAGGCGGCUUACUGGACUGUAACUGACACUGAGGCACGAAAGCGUGGGGAGCAAACAGGAUUAGAUACCGAGUAGUC